UACGGGGGGGGCAAGCGUUGUUCGGAAUUAUUGGGCGUAAAGCGCGCGCAGGCGGUCCUUUAAGUCUGAUGUGAAAGCCCACGGCUCAACCGUGGAGGGUCAUUGGAAACUGGGGGACUUGAGUACAGAAGAGGAAAGCGGAAUUCCACGUGUAGCGGUGAAAUGCGUAGAGAUGUGGAGGAACACCAGUGGCGAAGGCGGCUUUCUGGUCUGUAACUGACGCUGAGGCGCGAAAGCGUGGGGAGCAAACAGG
rnacentral:rRNA from 1 species